rnacentral:rRNA from 1 species
AUAACGAAGAGUUUGAUCCUGGCUCAGGACGAACGCUGGCGGCGUGGAUUAGGCAUGCAAGUCGAACGCGAAAGUAGAGCUUCGGUUUUACGAGUAGAGUGGCGGACG